GCAAACUUGGUCAUUUAGAGGAAGUAAAAGUCGUAACAAGGUUUCCGUAGGUGAACCUGCGGAAGGAUCAUUAACAAAUCAGUGCGUAGGGUGCCGCAAGGCGCCCUACGAUAUCUACCCCGAGCUUGCUUGCGCAAGUGAGCAGCUCUGGUUGCAGCCCUCGUGGCGUGCGCCUCUCUCUCUCUGUGCCUCCCUGUGGGGGGGAGCAGAGGGGGGGGAGCCACGACGAAGGGGGGCUGUAGACUGAAUCGCCCUAACCGGUGUGAAGGUCACAUAGACGCUUGUAUGUUUGACAGUCUAGUUGCAUCUUAAAAAUGACAACUUUUAACAAUGGAUCUCUUGGCUCUUGCAUCGAUGAAGAACGCAGC
rnacentral:misc_RNA from 1 species